GUGUCAGCCGCCGCGGUAAUACGGAGGGUGCGAGCGUUAAUCGGAAUUACUGGGCGUAAAGCGCAUGCAGGUGGUGGAUUAAGUCAGAUGUGGAAGCCCGGGGCUCAACCUCGGAACCGCAUUUGAAACUGGUUCACUAGAGUACUGUAGAGGGGGGUAGAAUUUCAGGUGUAGCGGUGAAAUGCGUAGAGAUCUGAAGGAAUACCGGUGGCGAAGGCGGCCC
rnacentral:rRNA from 1 species